AGCUUCCGCCCUGCCCGUCAGUCGGUAAGGUCAGGAACAGCAGGCCGCUGAAAAUCGCCAUCAGAAUAAAGUUCACCAGCGUGACACGAGUUCCGCCCAGACGGUCAGAUAAUGCACCACCUGCAGAACGCGCCAGCGCACCAAUAAACGGCCCGAAGAAAGCGUAUUGCAGAAUCUGAACAUCCGGGAACUGCGUUUUUGACA
rnacentral:misc_RNA from 1 species